rnacentral:rRNA from 1 species
AUUGAACGCUGGCGGCAUGCUUUACACAUGCAAGUCGAACGGCAGCGCGGGCUUCGGCCUGGCGGCGAGUGGCGAACGGGUGAGUAAUGCAUCGGAACGUGCCCAGUAGUGGGGGAUAGCCCGGCGAAAGCCGGAUUAAUACCGCAUACGACCUGAGGGUGAAAGCGGGGGACCGAAAGGCCUCGCGCUAUUGGAGCGGCCGAUGUCGGAUUAGCUAGUUGGUGGGGUAAAGGCUUACCAAGGCGACGAUCCGUAGCUGGUCUGAGAGGACGACCAGCCACACUGGGACUGAGACACGGCCCAGACUCCUACGGGAGGCAGCAGUGGGGAAUUUUGGACAAUGGGGGCAACCCUGAUCCAGCCAUGCCACGUGCGGGAAGAAGGCCUUCGGGUUGUAAACCGCUUUUGUUCGGGAAGAAAUCCUCUGGGCUAAUACCCCGGGGGGAUGACGGUACCGGAAGAAUAAGCACCGGCUAACUACGUG